CACGUAGUUAGCCGGGGCUUCUUAGUCAGGUACCGUCAUUUCUUUCUUCCCUGCUGAUAGAGCUUUACAUACCGAAAUACUUCUUCACUCACGCGGCGUCGCUGGAUCAGGGUUCCCCCCAUUGUCCAAUAUUCCUCACUGCUGCCUCCCGUAGGAGUUUGGGCCGUGUCUCAGUCCCAAUGUGGCCGUUCACCCUCUCAGGCCGGCUACUGAUCGUCGCCUUGGUGGGCCGUUACCCCACAACAAGCUAAUCAGACGCGGGUCCAUCUUACACCACCGGAGUUUUUAAGGAAAGACAUGCAUCUUCUCCUGUUAUGCGUAUUAGCACCUAUUCUAAGUGUUAUCCCCUAGUCGUAAGGCAGGUUACCCGACGUCGUUACCUUACACCCGUCCCGCCGACCUAA
rnacentral:rRNA from 1 species